AACGAACGCUGGCGGCAUGCCUAAUACAUGCAAGUCGAACGAGAUCUUCGGAUCUAGUGGCGCACGGGUGCGUAACGCGUGGGAAUCUUCCCUUGGGUUCGGAAUAACUUCUGGAAACGGAAGCUAAUACCGGAUGAUGACGUAAGUCCAAAGAUUUAUCGCACAAGGAUGAGCCCGCGUAGGAUUAGGUAGUUGGUGAGGUAAAGGCUCACCAAGCCGACGAUCCUUAGCUGGUCUGAGAGGAUGAUCACCCACACUGGGACUGAGACACGGCCCAGACUCCUACGGGAGGCAGCAGUAGGGAAUAUUGGACAGUGGGCGAAAGCCUGAUCCAGCAAUGCCGCGUGAGUGAUGAAGUCCUUAGGGUUGUAAAGCUCUUUUACCCGUGAUGAUAAUGACAGUACCGGGAGAAUAAGCUCCGGCUAACUCCGUG
rnacentral:rRNA from 1 species